rnacentral:rRNA from 1 species
GAUGAACGCUAGCGGCAGGCUUAAUACAUGCAAGUCGAGGGGUAGCAAGAUUGUAGCAAUACAAUUGUUGACGACCGGCAAACGGGUGCGGAACACGUACACAACCUUCCUACAAGUGGGGAAUAGCCCAGAGAAAUUUGGAUUAAUACCCCGUAACAUAGCGAUGUGGCAUCACAUUGCUAUUAUAGCUUCGGCGCUUGUUGAUGGGUGUGCGGCUGAUUAGAUAGUUGGCGGGGUAACGGCCCACCAAGUCUACGAUCAGUAGCUGAUGUGAGAGCAUGAUCAGCCACACGGGCACUGAGACACGGGCCCGACUCCUACGGUGGGCAGCAGUAAGGAAUAUUGGAAAAUGGACGCAAGUCUGAUCCAGCCAUGCCGCGUGAAGGAUUAAGGUCCUCUGGAUUGUAAACUUCUUUUAUAAGGGACGAAAAAAGGUCUUUCUAGAUCGUCUGACGGUACCUUAUGAAUAAGCACCGGCUAACUCCGUGCCAGCCACCGCCGUAACAC